AAGGUAGCAUAAUAAUUUGCCCAUUAAUUGGGGGCUUGUAUGAAAGGAUAAAUGAGAUAAAACCUGUCUUUUUUGUUGUACUAAAAAUUGAUUUUCAGGUGCAGAGGCCUGAAUUUAGGUAGAGGACAAGAAGACCCUAUUGAGCUUUACUCAGCUUAAUCAAUCUUGGUGACAGUUGGGUUUGGUUGGGGCGACAGAGGAAUACCUAAGACUUCCUUUUUAAUUUUGGUUUUCUUGCCUUUUAAUUAGCCAAGAUGAUUGAUUAGGGAAAUGAGUUACCAUAGGGAUAACAGGCUAAUUUUCUUUUAGAGUUCAUAUUGGCAAGAAAGUUUGGCACCUCGAUGUUGGCUUAGGGUACCCUU
rnacentral:rRNA from 1 species